rnacentral:lncRNA from 1 species
UUGCUGGUCCCUCUCAAUUAAUGUCCUUUUCUGAGCUUUCCCAGCAGUCCACUUGAAUUUGUCUCCUGCGUUGUCGGCUCAAUCUCUCCAAUUCAAGCUCUUGAUGCUGUUGCCUCCCAGAUUUACUUUGUCUAGAAUUUCCCUCUGAUUUCGGCUAAAAUUCUCUUCAGAUUCUGGUUUUUUUGGAUGCCGACUGACUCCUACAAGAAUUUCCAAUGUGUUCUACCGGCUGCCUUCCGUUUUCUCUUCCCGUUCUCCUCCCUCAAUUAGGUCUUCUCAAUGGUAUAUAUGUUGGCAUGGAGUUUUAGAUGGGUUUGGGAUCAAUUGGGCCGAGAUAAUAUAUUUAAAAAUCUGAUUUCUUCCUGGUUCGGGACCCGGCACCGCAUCGCCCAUCACCGGCGCUGCACCGCUGGGUAUUCUGUUUUUGCCUACCGGGCGCCACAGCGCCCAUCUUUCUGCUUCUUUGCUGCUGAGUGUUCUGCCUUUCUCUUUUUCUUUUCUUCUUUCCUUUUGUUCUUUAUUUUCUUGGUUCAUUCUAUCCCUUCUUUCCACCAUUUCAUCCACCUUACAAGCAACAUUAAAACCUCAUGUUAAAGUAUCCAAAUUCAUAAGAAUUUGCUAAAUAGCAAGAUUAAAUGGCGUGAAAUUAAUGAGUGAAGUAUCACUCAUCAAAUACUCCCAAACUUACUAUUUUGCUAGUCCUCGAGCAAAUACCAAACCAAAU